GCAUCAUGAUGUAACCUUUAGUUUGAUCAACACCUUCACGAAGGACAGACACAAUGGAGAAAGCCAUCUUUGUUUGUGUUUUUUCUUCCUGGAUUAUGCAAAUAAUUUCCAGUGGUAAGAAUACUCUUUAAACGUGCAUUCACCAUUUUAACCUCAAAUACAACUAUUAUUUUUAUCAAAACUAUUUCAGAGAAUUGGUUUAUCUAUUUUUCUCCAGAUGUUUCAGAACAUGAAGUGACUCUGUUAGGAGUUCAGAAGGGAGAAAGCAUCAGCCUGAACUGCAACAUGACCAACAGAUAUGAGUUGGCCUGGUAUCACCAGUAUUCUCAACAACUAACUCAACUAAUAUGUGCUAAGACUAGCAGUACGUCAGGAAGAAAACUGCUAGUUAGGUACAAUCAAAACUUGAGUCGUCUGACAGUUGAAGCAGAUGUGGAGAUCAACACAGUCACGCUAGUUAUUUCUGAACUAACAGAAUCAGAUGCAGGUCUUUAUUUCUGUGGAACAAAAUCAGUGACUUCAGAAAUGCACUUCAACAAACCCAUCAGACUACAGAUGGAGGACAAGCUGACAGACGGAGAGGACAAAUUUAAUUCCGUCACAGAACCGCCAGAGGAUGCUGAGAUCACAGAUGGGGUGACACUGUCAGAGCGUGUGCUGAUGUUCGGUGGUGUUGGUCUGGCUGUGCUUGUGUUUUUUCUGGCUACAGUCAUCGCAGGAGGAAUCAUUCACUAUCACGGCUGGCAGAAAGGAUGGACCGCAGCCAAACGCUCAUCUCUGAUUCACCACAAAUCAGCUAAAUAACACAUUUAUGUGUUUUAUGUUUCACUGUAUUCUAGUAAUCAGUAUUGCUGUAGGUUACAACCGAUGGUGGCUCAACAAAGUGGUUCAGAUGUGGUUCUGUUGGCUAGAUCUCACUUAGACUUUUGUUGUGGCAAAGCUCUAGAGAAGCAUUAAUAUGUACAAAUAAGCUUUAGUUUAAUAGAAAAUAUACGGUACAUACCAUCUGUU
rnacentral:lncRNA from 1 species